UACGUAGGGGGCCAGCGUUGUCCGGAAUCAUUGGGCGUAAAGAGCGUGUAGGCGGCCAGGUAGGUCCGUUGUGAAAACUGGAGGCUUAACCUCCAGCUGUCGAUGGAAACCAUCUGGCUAGAGUCCGGAAGAGGAGAGUGGAAUUCCUGGUGUAGCGGUGAAAUGCGCAGAUAUCAGGAAGAACACCCGUGGCGAAGGCGGCUCUCUGGGACGGUACUGACGCUGAGACGCGAAAGCGUGGGGAGCGAACAGG
rnacentral:rRNA from 1 species